GACGAACGCUGGCGGCGUGCUUAACACAUGCAAGUCGAACGGAAAGGCCCUGCUUUUGUUGGGUGCUCGAGUGGCGAACGGGUGAGUAACACGUGAGUAACCUGCCCUUGACUUUGUGAUAACUUCAGGAAACUGGGGCUAAUACCGGAUAGGAGCUCCUGCUGCAUGGUGGGGGUUGGAAAGUUUCGGCGGUUGGGGAUGGACUCGCGGCUUAUCAGCUUGUUGGUGGGGUAGUGGCUUACCAAGGCUUUGACGGGUAGCCGGCCUGAGAGGGGGACCGGCCACAUUGGGACUGCGAGACGGACCAGACUCCUACGGGAGGCAGCAGUGGGGAAUAUUGCACAAUGGGCGGAAGCCUGAUGCAGCAACGCCGCGUGCGGGAUGACGGCCUUCGGGUUGUAAACCGCUUUCGCCUGUGACGAAGAGUGAGUGACGGUAAUGGGUAAAGAAGCACCGGCUAACUACGUG
rnacentral:rRNA from 1 species